rnacentral:rRNA from 1 species
UACGUAGGGUGCAAGCGUUGUCCGGAAUCAUUGGGCGUAAAGCGCGCGUAGGCGGCCCGAUCAGUCCGCUGUAAAAGUCCAGGGCUCAAUCCUGGAAAGCCGGUGGAUACUGUCGGGCUAGAGUCCGGAAGAGGCGAGUGGAAUUCCUGGUGUAGCGGUGGAAUGCGCAGAUAUCAGGAGGAACACCGAUAGCGAAGGCAGCUCGCUGGGACGGUACUGACGCUGAGGUGCGAAAGCGUGGGGAGCGAACAGG